CAUGUUAUGAUCAAAUACUGCCAUGGGCACACACACCUUUAAAGUUCCUGAAGACACUUACCUGGGCUCAAAGUUAUUGUCCUUAACAACACACUCUUUCUUCUCAGGAACACUGGUCCAGGUCCUGGGAUCAGCUAAAUCCACCAGAGCUUUGGCAUUUAGCAACCCAAAUCCAAAUCGACUAUUCACCAUCAAGCCGGCUCCAUUCUUUUUCCAUCCAGGGUUAUUGGCCAACGGAUCAUACUCAGAGGUCCAGACAACCAAGUGCUGCAUGUCUCGCCAUGUGAGAUUUGGACUGGAGGGGAAGUGGCCCAAAAUGUUUUUUCAGAGACAAAAUGAUGUUUCCUUGUAAAACUGGGGAACUUUGAAUGAAUGGAAAGGAUGAAAGAAAAGGGACAAUCUUAAAGAUGAAACACUGAUCUAAAGACCUAAGAUAAUCAUGUGCAAAUUAACAGACAAAUGGACUUGAUGACUUCCAGACGUCAUGUCUAUGUCACUUCAGACAGUAGUGAAGAAGAAAAUGCAGCUGCAGAUCAGACUUUGGAAGAUAUGACAUCUGAACAUGCAUGCUCUGGCGCUUUAGACAUCCACGAGACGGAGCUGAGUCCGAACAGAGCCUACCACUGGUGAGGGCCUGAUAAGUAUCACCAAAUGAUUAUUAACUCCCCCUGCAAUGGCUUUUCAUUGCUCUUGGGACAAAGCUCAAAAUACCUAACAUGAUCUAUUACGCUCUGUCUUAUCUAGGCCCAUUUACCCUCUGGCCCUCUCUCUUCCCAUCCUCCCACCUGCUAUACAUAGAGACCAUUCCUGAGCAAAACAUGCCUUUCAUGUAUUUUUUAAAAAUUUGCAUUUGUUUUGAAAUUAGCCUAUAAAAUACCACCAUUGGAUGUAGAUCUAAAGAGAAAGAAAAUGUGUUGGAUAUAUUUUCCAGUGAAAUAUUAUCCUUGUUUUAUUUAAAUAAAAUGUUCUUCAUUUUGCUUUAUAGUAUAUUGCCCGUAAUUAAAAAUUUGUAUUAUAGCUUCAAUAUUACGGUUGGCUUUGUUUUUUUUAAGAUAUGUUUGCAAUAAACUGAAGAACUGUAAUGCCCUUUUGUGGAAGAAUUUAGAAGUAAUAGAAUGAUUAAAAAUAUU